ACGUAAGGCACAUCGCUGCCUUGUGCUUGGGAAUACUAGACAAUGCUAUGUUUGAGGACCAUUUUAAACAGCAAAAUCAUCAAAAAAAAAGAAAAAAGAAGAAAAAGAAAACCCACAAAAUGUGGGAAGUGUAGCAUUACAUAGACCAGGAAAAGGACACUUGUUUACAGUGGGAGACUGGUGUCACCUUGUUCUACCUCAGCUGGGAACGUGCGCGGCAGGCAAAACAACUUUUUUUGCCACUCUACUGUGUCUGCUAAUCGGUGAAAGCAGAGGAUACGUAAUCAAAAUAAUUUGGAGACUACUGCCCUAGAAAGCUGGAAGAUCCCUUUUCUCAGAAAACUGAAAGAAGAAUUUACCCAGAAGCAGCGAGCUGAAUUCAUCAAGCAGAUGGCUGAAACCAAUGGUCCUAUGGUGUCCGUGUCAGCUCAGACCCUCUAUCCAGCUCUUGGGAGAUCUGAUUCUCGUUCCUCCAGUGGAUGGUAACUCUGAGAUAUUUUCCCUAAUAAAAUCCUUGCCUAUCUAAUCCCACGGAGGCCUUGCGGAAUUAAAGAACCUCAGCUAAAAUUGGAGUCAGGACAGGACUGUAGGGGAGCGCACCAUGUGUCUUCAAUUACUCCAAACAGGAAGAGACAAAUGCCCACAUCUGGGACAGGAAGAUGCCUCUACCCAACCAAUGAGAAGCCACUAUACUUUGGACUCCCAGCUUCCUCCAGUGGACUCUUUGGUUAUCACAGCCCCUCCCAAUUACCCACUUUUCCAUAUAAA